UACGUAGGGCGCAAGCGUUAUCCGGAAUUAUUGGGCGUAAAGAGCGCGUAGGCGGUUUGUCGCGUCUGCCGUGAAAGCCCGGGGCUCAACUCCGGAUCUGCGGUGGGUACGGGCAGACUAGAGUGCUGUAGGGGAGACUGGAAUUCCUGGUGUAGCGGUGAAAUGCGCAGAUAUCAGGAGGAACACCGAUGGCGAAGGCAGGUCUCUGGGCAUUAACUGACGCUGAGGAGCGAAAGCAUGGGGAGCGAACAGG
rnacentral:rRNA from 1 species